GAUUCCUACGGGACGCAGCAGUGAGGAAUAUUGGUCAAUGGGCUUACGCCUGAACCAGCCAAGUCGCGUGAGGGAAGACUGCCCUAUGGGUUGUAAACCUCUUUUGUCAGGGAGCAACGCCGGCUACGUGUAGCCGGACUGAGAGUACCUGAAGAAAAAGCAUCGGCUAACUCCGUGCCAGCAGCCGCGGUAAUACGGAGGAUGCAAGCGUUAUCCGGAUUUAUUGGGCGUAAAGGGAACGCAGGCGGUCUUUUAAGUCUGAUGUGAAAGCCUUCGGCUUAACCGGGGUAGUGCAUUGGAAACUG
rnacentral:rRNA from 1 species